GACGAAGAACGUAGCGAAAUGCGAUAAGUAAUGUGAAUUGCAGAAUUCAGUGAAUCAUCGAAUCUUUGAACGCACCUUGCACCCUUUGGCAUUCUGAAGGGUAUGCUCGUUUGAGUGUCAUUGUACUCUCACACUCCCGAUCUUUGCAUUGGGAGCAGUGGACUUGGGUUUGCUGCUUCACCGUCGCUUACCUCAAAUAGGUUAGUGCAACUCUUGGUUGGACAUAGUACGGCGUGAUAAGUGUUCUUCGCCGGUGCCUCGCAAAGAGGGUGGCCGAUCGGGAUGUUGUGCUCCAAACCGUCUUCGGACAAUCUCUGACGACUUGACCUCAAAUCGAGUAAGACUACCCGCUGAACUUAAGCAUAUCAAUAAGCGGAGGA
rnacentral:misc_RNA from 1 species